rnacentral:rRNA from 1 species
GUGCCAGCAGCCGCGGUAAUACGUAGGGGGCGAGCGUUGUCCGGAUUUACUGGGCGUAAAGGGUGAGUAGGCGGUUGUAUAUGUCAGGUGUAAAAGGCUAUGGCUUAACCAUGGUUAGCACUUGAAACUGUGCAACUUGAGUGCAGGAGAGGUAAGCGGAAUUCCUAGUGUAGCGGUGAAAUGCGUAGAUAUUAGGAGGAACACCAGUGGCGAAGGCGGCUUACUGGACUGUAACUGACGCUGAGUCACGAAAGCGUGGGUAGCAAACAGGAUUAGAUACCCUGGUAGUCCACGCUGUAAACGAUGAGUGCUAGGUGUUGGGUAGCGAUACUCAGUGCCGGAGUAAACACAAUAAGCACUCCGCCUGGGGAGUACGGUCGCAAGACUGAAACUCAAAUGAAUUGGCGG